rnacentral:rRNA from 1 species
GACGAACGCUGGCGGCGUGCUUAACACAUGCAAGUCGAACGGUAAGGCCCUUCGGGGUACACGAGUGGCGAACGGGUGAGUAACACGUGGGUGAUCUGCCCUGCACUUCGGGAUAAGCCUGGGAAACUGGGUCUAAUACGGGAUAGGACCACUGCCUGCAUGGGUGGUGGUGGAAAGCUUUUUGCGGUGUGGGAUGGGCCCGCGGCCUAUCAGCUUGUUGGUGGGGUGAUGGCCUACCAAGGCGACGACGGGUAGCCGGCCUGAGAGGGUGACCGGCCACACUGGGACUGAGAUACGGCCCAGACUCCUACGGGAGGCAGCAGUGGGGAAUAUUGCACAAUGGGCGCAAGCCUGAUGCAGCGACGCCGCGUGAGGGAUGACGGCCUUCGGGUUGUAAACCUCUUUCAGCACCGACGAAGCGCAAGUGACGGUAGGUGCAGAAGAAGGACCGGCCAACUACGUGCCAGCAGCCGCGGUAA